GAGACCAUGAAGGGAUAGAAUUCUAAAAUAUUUUAAAGCCCGUGCUUCUGCCUGCCUGCCUGUUUUUGCAUCAUUGUGGUCACUGCGCUCUGCCUGCUCCUGAUUCAGCCUGAGCUGUACCCACCCAGUGUCCAGCCCUCUGACAGCCCUGGACCAGACCCACCUGCCAUUCUGAGAUGCAUGUUUUUUUUUCCACAGAGGGAUUAGACUCAGGCAAUAUUCUUGGUCCCUCUGGAAGAUAGUGAGGGUGAUGACCAGUACUGGAAUCUGGAUCCAUGAUGUGUACUCCAAAGUUCCUGAUCUUCUCACUUGCCAGAACAUGGAUCCAUUGUGUGAUGGAGAAACCCUCAAGACUUAUCAAAUUAGAUGACUACAAGACUUAAGAGAAAAUAAAAACAAAUUGGAUGACUUGAUGGUGUCCCUG
rnacentral:lncRNA from 1 species